UUUUGCCAUCCACACGCAACAUACAAAUGUGGCGGAAAAAAAAAAUACUGACUGAGACGAACCACCUCUCUGAUAUAAAAUUAGAAAGAACCUAUGUGUCUGUCUGUGCGUUCAGAAUGGGAGAAGGCUUAAGGAGAUGGGUAGUGGACAUAUCAAAGUGGGACCCACAUCACUCUCACUUCUUCGCUCUCUCCCUCCUUCCUUCCCACUAGCACUCCUCGAUUACCAGGAUUAUGAUAAAUUUGGUCUUAGAUUCCCAAAUUUUAAUUUCAAUGUAUCUCAUCAUGGUGACUGUGGCCAUAGCAUCUGAACCUGUAUGUCUUGUGGGGUAGACAUUGUCUCCUAUGAUGUUCCACUGGGAGAAACAAUUACAGAAUUCAUUCAAUUCUUCUCAUCUUACUUUUCAAGUUUGGAAUGGGAUAACAUAGUCAAUUCAGGCACUUCGAAUGAUGUAUUGACUGAAUUUUACAGAAACCAAAGUUGGGACGUGAGGGGAGCUGAAGCAUUGGGAAAUCUCCAUCAAUGGGCCAAGAAAAAACAAUACAGGUCAGGUGGACUACUAGACUAACACCACAAGAAACCCAAAAUCUAAAGGCAUUUUAGGUGUAUACCUUGUCAGUAGCCACUUAUAUAUUGUUCAACUUGCUUUUUCUUAUCCAAUGUAAGAUUUUUCACUUACACUUAACACUCCAACAACCAAUUAUCAAUAUCUGAAUAAUAAAUUGCUUGCUAGCAUUUUUUAAGAAUAUCACUGCACUCUUUAAGUGAAGGCAUCUCAACAAAUGACAUCAGCUAAAGUAUUUACUAUGCUUCCUAGCUUCAUUCCAUAUAGCUGUUAUGAAAAUGCCCAAUAAUUUUAACCUAUGAUUUUAUGCUCCUGUCCGAUUUUAUUAUCCGUAUAUCUCAAAAUUUGGCAAAGAAAGAACCUGAAUAUUGUAUUACUAUAUAAUGCAGAGCAUAAGAUGGUCUCUGAAAUUGUUUUAUUUAUAUAUUAAUAUGUCAUAGUGUCAGAUCUGAUAAUGUAUUUUUAUCUGUCAAAAAAGUAGAAUUUUUACAAUGUAUAAGGGUUCUUUGAACUGAAGACAGGCCAUGCUGAAAGUCAAAGGUGCAUUUAGUUUCCAGGCAUUGGAGCCUUAAAGAAGCAUAUGUUAAACCUAUAGGGAGUGGACUUACUGAAGGGCUGAAUAAAGUGGAAUUUUCUCACACAAGAUGGACAAAUAUAUCAGCUAAAGUGGAUGGGAAGGCUAUGACAGAGUGGAGAUUUUGGUUGUUCGAACUUGGGGAUAGACAUUGUGUUUCAAGCGAGAGUUUACCCAAUAUCAACUGCUACGAGUUACAAAACAACAUUGAAGAAAGUGGACUUUACUGAAGAGGAAUAUACUCUAGGUCUUCAUCUUCCAAACAUAGUUGUUAAACUAGAUGUAGACCAACAUAUUUCAAUUUUACAAAAAGCAUUUGAUUUUUAGCCUAGAGGUUAGAUGUUAGUGUAAAUCUAUGAAAAAAAUUGUAAUGUGAAAGACAAUAAGUAUAUCGAAAGAAAACACACACCUCCACUUUCUCAGUCAAAAUAAGAUUCUGUCUUGUUGGUCAAUUUCUUAGAGUCAACAAGGUUUUAUACCGAUCAACUUUUUUUUUUAUGAUGGCCAAGGGCUAUACAAAGAGUGACAAUAAAGCAAAACAUGUUCUACAU